UACGGAGGAUGCGAGCGUUAUCCGGAUUUAUUGGGUUUAAAGGGUGCGUAGGCGGACUGUUAAGUCAGCGGUAAAAGCCCGGGGCUCAACCCCGGCGAGCCGUUGAAACUGGCUGUCUUGAGAUGUCGAGAGGUAUGCGGAAUGCGCAGUGUAGCGGUGAAAUGCUUAGAUAUCACGAAGAACUCCGAUUGCGAAGGCAGCUCACUGGACUGCAACUGACACUGAGGCUCGAAAGUGUGGGUAUCAAACAGG
rnacentral:rRNA from 1 species